rnacentral:rRNA from 1 species
UACGGAGGAUGCAAGCGUUAUCCGGAAGGAUUGGGCGUAAAGCGUCCGCAGGUGGCAAUGUAAGUCUGCUGUCAAAGCGUCUGGCUCAACCAGAUAAAGGCAGUGGAAACUACAUAGCUAGAGUAAGGUAGGGGUAGAGGGAAUUCCUGGUGUAGCGGUGAAAUGCGUAGAGAUCAGGAAGAACACCGGUGGCGAAAGCGCUCUGCUGGACCUUAACUGACACUGAGGGACGAAAGCUAGGGGAGCGAAUGGG